UACGUAGGGUGCAAGCGUUGUCCGGAAUUAUUGGGCGUAAAGAGCUCGUAGGCGGUCUGUCGCGUCUGCUGUGAAAACUCAGGGCUUAACCCUGAGCUUGCAGUGGGUACGGGCAGACUAGAGUGCGGUAGGGGGAGACUGGAAUUCCUGGUGUAGCGGUGAAAUGCGCAGAUAUCAGGAGGAACACCGGUGGCGAAGGCGGGGUCUCUGGGCCGUAAACUGACGCUGGAGGAGCGAAAAGCAUGGGGGAGCGAAACAG
rnacentral:rRNA from 1 species